GCCGGUGCCCGGGCUCUGGCUCCGUGUCUUCACUCCCGUGUGUCGGAGGAGGGAGGGAGGGACGGGGGCUGUGCUGAGGCACCU
rnacentral:pre_miRNA from 1 species